rnacentral:lncRNA from 1 species
CCAGUUCAGUUCUUCACUCUUUCAUCUUCUUCUUCAAAGACCUUAAGGAACCCUAGCGUCGGCCUUAAAUCCCCAACAUUUUUCGAUAGCGACGCCGCCUUCAAUCAACCCCAAACUCAUACCCCAAGAUCCUCACAAUCUCUCCUUUUCCAAUCCCUAACAAGCUUCCCUUGAAUCCUUUGGCAUCUUCUCAAAUCUUGAAUCUGAGUUCGAAACCCUAAACCCCAUCAUCAACUUCCAUGGAAUAUGUAGCAUGCAAGGAUAAGGGGGUCGAUUAUGCACGAAGCUGAUGUUGUCUGUUUGUUCUUGACAAGAACACAUGAUUGACAUAAAAUUUGGGCUCAAAUCGAAGCAAGUCGAAGUCUCACUGAAUCAACUUAGGUAUUUUUUCUUUUGUUUUUCCUUCUGCUGUCUCAUCUUUCUAUUCUCUUUCUUCUACUUUUCUUUAGGUAGUUUCUUCUAUUUAAAAUUUAGCAAAGGUCCAAACCUGAAUCUUGGUUUUCCCAUUAGAUUGAUUUGGUAUUUGUUCCGUUUGCUUUUCAAUUUUCUUUUCAAACUUCAAAAAGUUGUUCAUUGAUUUCGUUUGGUUUAUUCAUCUACAUGUUUAUUUGUUAUUCAUGACAUUUGAGUUUUCUGAUUUUUGUCCUUCAUAUUAUAGUCGUACGUUAGCUUAAUUAGAUGUUGUUUGAUUUGGUCAUCUAGCUUAAUUUUUGUUUAUUUUUAUUAGUUUAAAAAUCAGUCAAGCCUUUAGUUUUGAAAGCAUUCAUGUGUUUCUUCUUCUGUUUGAAUAACUGAUUUGGUCUGGGCUUUGGGGUCAUUUCUGAUCCAUUUCCAAAGGGCAGCCCAUUCAUUUUGGUUUAAGUCUUGGGUCAGAAUUGACCCAUGUGGUAUGCUGAGAUAAUUGACCGGGGUUUUAAGGGUAGUCUAGAGAUUUUUAGUUUAGGAAAUCUUGCCUAACUGACUUAGGAAGUUGCUAGGAAGGUGGUUUUGGGACUUUCUUGAAAAAUAUAUUUUGAAAUUAAGGACUAAAUAGCAAAAACAAAAAUUAAAAAAGGAGUAAAGGGCAAAAUUAAAAUCAUUAUCUGUUGCCCUAAAACUUCUCUAUAAAAGGCCGAUUACUUCACUCUCAAGUCAGAUUUUAGAGACUGAAAAAUACAAAAAAUUUAGAGAAACGGCUGAGUUUUCAAAUACUGAAACCCUUUGCAAUUUCGGGUGAAAAACUGGUUCAGAUUCAUGUUUGUUCUAGCAUCUUAAAUCUGCAAAGAAUUUAUGGUUCAUUCAUGGGUCUAAAAUUGGUUUCAAGCCUGGUUUUGAUGUUGGUUUAAGAGCUUGUUUGUUGCUGGUUGUUGAUUUGUUCUCUGCUGCUACUGAGCUUUUCAUUUUCUUAUUUUUGUUGACAUCCAUGUACUUGUUUCUAGAUCCUACUGAAUGUGAAGCUUGAUUCGAAGCAUGAAAUUAAAAUGUGAUGUUGUAAGCACAGUAUCAACAUAUUUGAUUAGACUUAAGCCUUACUUUCUACACUACAUUGUUCUUUCUGUUUAAUUCCUUGUAUUUUCUGCUGAAUGAUAGUGUGCCCACUUAAGGGUUAUAUUAGGUCUUUACUUAGUAUGUAAGUCUACAACUCUUGUAAAGUAUGAUGUAGCUGAAUUUGGGGUUUUUUCAUUUGGACUUUUAUUAUCAUAUAUCUGAUUCUGGAUCGUCUGUAAUAUGGACAUAACUUAGAUGGAUAACGUUUAAAAUUGUAUAGUGAUGUUAGAUCGUAGGUAGAUUCCACUAUGAUUUUAUUUGUUAUAAUUUUGGUUUUCAAGUGAUUUCAAAGUUUACUGUUUGUUUGUAAAUAAUAUAGGCAAAAGUAUGAAGCCUUUGAUGUUAGGUAUUCUACUAAAAAGCAUCAGUUUCGAACCUUAAUAUAUUUUUGGGUUCUAUUUAGUUUUGAUGAAAUCAGUCAGCACUCUUUUACUCUUUAAAGACCUGGAGUUGGAUAGGUUUUAGUAGAUGCAUUCUUUUAAAAUCAUGUUAGCUUGUUUUGGUUAAAAAUCAAAUUUCUGCCAUGUUAAAAGACAAAAUAUUUGGUGUUUGAGCUAUAUAAUAUUAAGGUUGACAUUUCAUUAUGGAAUGUGAUUUGAGCUUAAGAAUAUUGUUGUGCAUCUAUGCAGAGUUGGAAAGAAUUGCUAGCAUUUGUUUUCUAACUCAAAGAUUUGCAUGAAUAAUGCAAUUUGCCUCAAGUAUUAGUGUUAAAUCACAAAGCUGGACUGCCUUCUUUGGCCCAGUUGUGCCAAAUUUCCUCCUCAGCAAUUGGAUUCUCUAUCUGGGCUUCAUGUCGAGCUCAGUUUUGUUCUCGUGCCUAUCUUGGAUUUGGCAAUUGGCAAUUGGGCCUACAGCCUGUUGGAAACACGUUCUCAAUGCAAUAUACUAAAACGUGUGUUCUUUUGUAUAGGUUUU